AACGAACGCUGGCGGCAUGCCUAACACAUGCAAGUCGAACGAGACCUUCGGGUCUAGUGGCGCACGGGUGCGUAACGCGUGGGAACCUGCCCUUAGGUUCGGAAUAACUCAGAGAAAUUUGAGCUAAUACCGGAUAAUGUCUUCGGACCAAAGAUUUAUCGCCUUUGGAUGGGCCCGCGUAGGAUUAGCUUGUUGGUGGGGUAAUGGCCUACCAAGGCGACGAUCCUUAGCUGGUCUGAGAGGAUGAUCAGCCACACUGGGACUGAGACACGGCCCAGACUCCUACGGGAGGCAGCAGUGGGGAAUAUUGGACAAUGGGCGAAAGCCUGAUCCAGCAAGGCCGCGUGAGUGAUGAAGGCCUUAGGGUUGUAAAGCUCUUUUACCAGGGAUGAUAAUGACAGUACCUGGAGAAUAAGCUCCGGCUAACUCCGUG
rnacentral:rRNA from 1 species